rnacentral:rRNA from 1 species
UACGGGGGGGGCUAGCGUUAUUCGGAAUUAUUGGGCGUAAAGCGUCCGUAGAUGGUUUUGUCAGUCUGCUGUCAAAGCACAGGGCUUAACCCUGUAAAGGCAGUGGAAACUACAAGACUAGAGUGCAGUAGGGGCAGAGGGAAUUCCCAGUGUAGCGGUGAAACGCGUAGAGAUUGGGAAGAACAUCCGUGGCGAAAGCGCUCUGCUGGACUGCAACUGACAUUGAGGGACGAAAGCUAGGGGAGCGAAUGGG